rfam:Stegodyphus mimosarum contig69862, whole genome shotgun sequence.
GCCUUCGUGGUGUAAUGGUCAGCACACUGAGCCGGUAUUUCAGAGGUCCGUGGUUCGAGCCCCGGCGAAGGCA